GUCGGGCCCCGCCCGGCGGCUCAGCGCCCCCCCGCCUGGCGCAGCCCACGUGCACGCCCCCCCCCCAUGGCACAGCCUAAGGUGUCCAUUCCCAUGCCCACUGCCUCUUUCCUUCUCAGCAUCAGAAGGCUCAGUGCAGAACCAGGAGCACCACCUGGUGGGAUGAUGGCAGCAUAAUGCUUUGUGCAGCUUGGACAGUCCUGUAUCUAUGCCCAAACCCACGGAACUGAACAGAACACCAGCCCAGCUGGUCUCAAAGAGAAACAGAUUGGAUGUCUGUCUAAAAGAUAUGCUCUAGGUCACCAGAAGUCACUCAAUAGUGCUUGAUAAUGUCCACCUAUAUUACAGGUAGGAAUAACUCCCUGCUCUGCUGGAAUCACUGGAGGACAUUUUAUUGGCUGUGUUAUGCAGGAGGUUGGAAGAAAACUCAUCCUAAGUCACUUCACUGGCCAGGAAUUCACCCAGGAUUCUAGACUGAAAUUUGCUGGUGGAAAAACUUUUGUUUCAUAUUUUGUUGAAGUUGAAUGUUGCACAGUUUGGAGAACAUGUGUUUUUUCUCCCAAAACUUUGUUCUGUUGCAAGCAGAUGGAUGAAUGGACAACCCUGAAAUGAUUAACCCUGUGUGGGUACAGAUAGCCUGCAAACCUUGUAGGGCAGCCCUAGCCUGCUGGCUGACUCACUCCUGCUCAUGUGUGGCUUGGGCCUACUGGUCUGAGUGGCUAGCUGGGAUGCAUCCUGCAAAGAAGAAGUGGAGUACAGAGAUCCAGUUAGUGUUCACACUUUUCAUGAACCAGCAAGCACAUCAUCAUCAUCAUCAUUCCUGUAGUGCCUAGAGACCCCAUCUGAGGUUGGGGCCCCAUUGUGCUGUGUGCUUUACAUGGUACGAGAUGGCCUCGUCUCCAAAGAUCUUAAAAUCCGAAUAGACACUGUAGACAUGGGAGAAAGGAAUUAUUCUUCUAAUAGUUAAUACGAUGUAAGUAUUGCCUUCAACAUUGUUACUGUCCAAAUUAAUUUGGAACUGUUUGGCAAAUCUCUAGUUACCAUGGCAACAAAACUACACAUUUGAAUGUAUUAAAAA